rnacentral:rRNA from 1 species
AGAGUUCGAUCCUGGCUCAGGAUGAACGCUGGCGGCGUGCUUAACACAUGCAAGUCGAACGAGAAAUGAAGACGGAAACCUUCGGGCGGAAGGCUUCAUUUCGAGUGGCGGACGGGUGAGUAACGCGUGGGUAACCUGCCUCAUACAGGGGGAUAACAGUUGGAAACGACUGUUAAUACCGCAUAAGACCACAGCACCGCAUGGUGCGGGGGUAAAAACUCCGGUGGUAUGAGAUGGACCCGCGUUCGAUUAGCCAGUUGGCGGGGUAACGGCCCACCAAAGCGACGAUCGAUAGCCGAUCUGAGAGGAUGACCGGCCACAUUGGGACUGAGACACGGCCCAAACUCCUACGGGAGGCAGCAGUGGGGAAUAUUGCACAAUGGGGGAAACCCUGAUGCAGCGACGCCGCGUGAGCGAAGAAGGUUUUCGAAUCGUAAAGCUCUGUCCUAUGAGAAGAUAAUGACGGUAUCAUAGGAGGAAGCCCCGGCUAAAUACGUGCCAGCAGCCGCGGUAAUACGUAUGGGGCGAGCGUUGUCCGGAAUUAUUGGGCGUAAAGGGUACGUAGGCGGUUUUUUAAGUCAGGUGUGAAAGCGUGAGGCUUAACCUCAUUAAGCACUUGAAACUGGAAGGCUUGAGUGAAGGAGAGGAAAGUGGAAUUCCUAGUGUAGCGGUGAAAUGCGUAGAUAUUAGGAGGAAUACCGGUGGCGAAGGCGACUUUCUGGACUUUUACUGACGCUCAGGUACGAAAGCGUGGGGAGCAAACAGGAUUAGAUACCCUGGUAGUCCACGCCGUAAACGAUGAG